GCGCUUUCGGGUGUCGCUGAUGGAUGGACCCGCGGUGCAUUAGCUAGUUGGUGAGGUAACGGCUCACCAAGGCCACGAUGCAUAGCCGACCUGAGAGGGUGAUCGGCCACAUUGGGACUGAGACACGGCCCAAACUCCUACGGGAGGCAGCAGUAGGGAAUCUUCGGCAAUGGACGAAAGUCUGACCGAGCAACGCCGCGUGAGUGAAGAAGGUUUUCGGAUCGUAAAACUCUGUUGUUAGAGAAGAACAAGGAUGAGAGUAACUGUUCAUCCCUUGACGGUAUCUAACCAGAAAGCCACGGCUAACUACGUGCCAGCAGCCGCGGUAAUACGUAGGUGGCAAGCGUUGUCCGGAUUUAUUGGGCGUAAAGCGAGCGCAGGCGGUUUCUUAAGUCUGAUGUGAAAGCCCCCGGCUCAACCGGGGAGGGUCAUUGGAAACUGGGAGACUUGAGUGCAGAAGAGGAGAGUGGAAUUCCAUGUGUAGCGGUGAAAUGCGUAGAUAUAUGGAGGAACACCAGUGGCGAAGGCGGCUCUCUGGUCUGUAACUGACGCUGAGGCUCGAAAGCGUGGGGAGCAAACAGGAUUAGAUACCCUGGUAGUCCACGCCGUAAACGAUGAGUGCUAAGUGUUGGAGGGUUUCCGCCCUUCAGUGCUGCAGCUAACGCAUUAAGCACUCCGCCUGGGGAGUACGACCGCAAGGUUGAAACUCAAAGGAAUUGACGGGGGCCCGCACAAGCGGUGGAGCAUGUGGUUUAAUUCGAAGCAACGCGAAGAACCUUACCAGGUCUUGACAUCCUUUGACCACUCUAGAGAUAGAGCUUCCCCUUCGGGGGCAAAGUGACAGGUGGUGCAUGGUUGUCGUCAGCUCGUGUCGUGAGAUGUUGGGUUAAGUCCCGCAACGAGCGCAACCCUUAUUGUUAGUUGCCAUCAUUCAGUUGGGCACUCUAGCA
rnacentral:rRNA from 1 species